rnacentral:tRNA from 1 species
CGCGGGAUGGAGCAGUUCGGUAGCUCGUCGGGCUCAUAACCCGAAGUCGGUGGUUCAAAUCCGCCUCCCGCA